rnacentral:rRNA from 1 species
AUUAAUAUUCUGUUAAUUUUAAACUCAGAGUAGUAACAGAAUUCUCUAAACUCAAAAAAUUUGGCGGCAUUUUUCCCUUUUAGAGGAGCCUGUCCCAUAAAUGAUGACCCACGUUUUAUUAUACCAUUUUUAAAAGUUUGUAUACCGCCGUUUUGAGAGUAUUAUAAAAUACUUUCUUAAUUAUGUUAAUCAAUACCUCAGGUCAAGGUGCAGCUAAUAAUAUGGAGGAGGUGGGCUACAUUAAUUUUAAUUAAACGGAAAAUUAAUUUAAAAUUAUUUUAAAGGUGGAUUUAAUUGUAAUUUUAUUAUUAAAUAAAUUGAAUAGGU